rnacentral:rRNA from 1 species
GAUGCACGCUAGCUACAGGCUUAACACAUGCAAGUCGAGGGACCGGCGCACGGGUGAGUCACACGUAUCCAACCUACCCUUUACUCGGGGAUAGCCUUUCGAAAGAAAGAUUAAUACCCGAUGUAAAGGAUGGGGAUGCGUUCCAUUAGGUUGUUGGUGAGGUAACGGCUCAGCAAGCCUUCGACGGGUAGGGGUUCUGAGAGGAAGGUCCCCCACAUUGGAACUGAGACACGGUCCAAACUCCUACGGGAGGCAGCAGUGAGGAAGAUUGGUCAAUGGGCGUUAGCCUGAACCAGCCAAGUAGCGUGAAGGAUGAAGGCUUAUGGGUCGUAAACUUCUUUUAUAUAAGAAUAUGUAUUAUAUGAAUAAGGAUCGGCUAACUCCGUGCCAGCAGCCGCGGUAAUUC